ensembl:lncRNA
GUUGCGCUCUGGCGCCAGAGUCCCGGGAUCAGCUGCCAGCUCCCCAACACCUGCCCCAGAUCGGUAUCAGAGGUCAAGGCCGGGGACGCAGCGCAAACGGGGUUCGCGCGACUUUCCCACGCGGUGCCCGCGAAAACGCCGAGGCGGGGUGCAGGGCCUGAGAGCCCCGGAGGGCCAGUUCUCCUUUCCGCACGGACGCGAAACUUGCUAACAAGGUUUUCUCAGGCAGUUGCCAGCUCGGGUUUCCUUCCUGAUUACAAAACAGACUGCCAGCUAUUCUGAAGGAGAAAAAGUCAAUUCAAACGCUGGGAGGGAGACUGCUUACGGAUCCCCAAAGGGCAGGAGAAUUUAGAAUAAAAGCAACGAUAAACGCGGGGUUGAGAGGCUGGAGCCCAGGGCCUUCCCCUGAGCUGCAGCUCCGUAUUGGUAUCUUUAUCACCAUUACAGUUCCGGCACUAGACACUGAGCCCAGGGCCUAUGCCCUGAGCUGCAUCUCCACCCCUUUUAAAAUUUUCUUAUUUUGAGACAGGGUCUUGUUAAACCACCAAGUAGCCCAGCCUGGGCUGGAACUCGAGAUCCCCCUGCCUCAGCCUUCCCGAGUGCCGGACUGCAGACACGUACCACCAAUGCCAGCCUCAGUAUUCCUUCUGCAUCACCUUUCUUUGCUUCACUACUGGACUUUAUCACUAGAAUCUAGCACACGGUCUGGCACAUAGUAGACUGGUGCAUACUCAUUGAAGGAAUAUAUUACACUGGUUCAGUCAAUAUCAAAGAGAUCAUCAAGAACAUUGAUAAAAAAUAUGUAAAAAUACAGCUGGACGUGGUGGCACAUGCCUGUAAACCCAGCGUUUGGGAGGCUGAGGCAGGAGGAUCACCGUGAGUUCAAGACCAGCCUGAACUACACAGUGAGAGCCUGUCUCAAAAAACCAAAAAAGAAGAAGGUAACAAUAUAAAAUAUUUCUCUGUUUUUAUGACUCUUCUUUUUUUUUUUUUUUUUUUUUUUUUUGGUACCGGGGAUCGAACUCGGGACCUUGCGCUUGCGAGGCAGGCGCUGGAACCACUGAGCUAAAUCUCCUGUCCAUGUGUUCUUAAUAAAAUACAGGAUCAGGUGAUGGCCCGCCUUCGCAUGUGUCGGAGCCCUGGGCAAAGCCGAGCCCUUCACCGCGAGAAGCAGCGACACGGGCCACGCCCCUGUGGCCUCUCACUUCCGCUUCCGGUUCCCCCUGUGACCUCACCGCCCGGCCUUCCGUGGCCUGGCUCCCCUCCUGCUCUCUUAGCUAUCUACGGUGUACCCCGUUACCACUGUCCUUCCGGGCGUUUCUUGCAAUCUGCAUGCAUCUUGCUUAUUUCCUUGUUUCUAUGUUCCUUUGUUAUGCUUUUUCUUGCUUUGAGACAGGGUCUCACUAUGUAGCUCGGGCUGGCUUCAAACUUGUAAUCCUCCUGCCUCAGCUUCACGUCCUGUUUGUAUGCUGAGAAUAACAUGUUUUCCUUCCUGUAGGGAAAGACCCUGGCCGAACUCGGUGACCAGCCUAUUGCUGGUGCUCAGUGGAUAUUUAUUUAUUGAAUGAACGAACAUGUAUAAUCCCUAAGGUCAUAUGGUUCCCCAGGAAGCAUAGCCUUUAAUAGGAAAUCAAUUUUUUAAUUGAUGCCUUUUUCUUUCUUUGUCUUUUUUUUGAGACAGGGUCUCUGGUGUAGCCCAGGCUGGCCUCAAGCUUGGAGCAAUCCUCCUGCCUCAGCCUCCCGAGCGCUGGGAUGACAGGUGUGCCCCACCACGGUGGGCAAGGAUACCUUCACCGAGUCCCUUCCCGGACCCCGGCCCUCUUGUCUGGGGGUGGCGUCAGCCUCCCUCUCCUCACUGUCGGGAGCAGUGAUAUUGACUCCAGGGUGGAGGACUCAGUGCAGGGAGACCACUCAGGUCUGACUGUGGAUCACACUGAGUCAAGCUACUGCCCAAACUGGACCUCCCCAUCUGGGCAGUGCCCCUUCCCUCAGGAACACACCUGUGUGGGCUUUGUGGCAGGGUAGUUUUCCAGUGCCAGAGAAGACUGGAGGUGGAGAUGGAGAAAUGCUAUUUAUUAGCACUAAUGAAUUUCCACUUUAUCAUUUAGCGUUUUUUCAACUGGUGAAAUGAAUGAGACAGAUCUACACGUAUUGAUACAGAUUACUUGCCAAGAUAUAUCAUUGUGAAAUGUGUACAAUUGUUAGGGAGCGGUGGCCCAUGCCUGUAAUUCCAGUACUCUGGGAGGCUGAGGCAGGAGGAUCUCUGGUUCAAGUGCAGUGGGACCGGACCGGACUGGGCUGUGCUCUGGGGCGCCACCCUGGGUUUGCCCUCUGGGGCGGGGUGGAUGUGUGUGAUCGUUAGAUGUAAAGGAGCAUUUCUGGGGCUGCACAGAAUCCGCGUGGAAGGGCGCUGAGGCCACAAAGUGACUCAGACCAGAAGGUGACUCUGCAGUUCUUUUCUCUGCCCAAAAUGGUAAGUUAAUAUUUGAGUUAAAGUUCUUUCUAGAAAACAAAUCCUGCAAGUUGGUUUUUUUUUUUUUUAAAGUAUUCAAGGGAAAUGCAAAGUAGGCUGGUGGGACCCGUGCCAUUUCAAGUCUUUCCCACACAGCAGGUUGGGCAACAUUCAGAGAACUUCCUUAUUUCAACUCUGUCCUAUUCUGUUUAUUGGACAGGGUCUCGCUAUGCAGUCCAGUCUGGCUUUGAUCCUCCUGCCUCAGCCUCCCAAGUGCUGGGAUGACAGGCAUGCAACACCACACCUGCCUCACAGCUCUGAGUUUUAUGAAUGGUGCCAGUUAGACAUUCUCGUACACACCUUCCGGUGCCCUGUGCAGUACCGGGGAUUGAACUCGGGACCUUGCACUUGUGAUGGAGUCGACAGAACCACCGAGC